UUACGACCACAUCACCCUGAAACACCGGCUCCCGUACGAUCACCGAAGUUAAGCAACACCUAGCAUGGUCAGUACCUAGAUAGCUGACUGUUUGGGAAUACCAGGUGCUGAAA